GAUGUCUGAUGGAGCAACGCCGCGUGAGUGAAGAAGGUUUUCGGAUCGUAAAGCUCUGUUGUUGGUGAAGAAGGAUAGAGGUAGUAACUGGCCUUUAUUUGACGGUAAUCAACCAGAAAGUCACGGCUAACUACGUGCCAGCAGCCGCGGUAAUACGUAGGUGGCAAGCGUUGUCCGGAUUUAUUGGGCGUAAAGCGAGCGCAGGCGGAAGAAUAAGUCUGAUGUGAAAGCCCUCGGCUUAACCGAGGAACUGCAUCGGAAACUGUUUUUCUUGAGUGCAGAAGAGGAGAGUGGAACUCCAUGUGUAGCGGUGGAAUGCGUAGAUAUAUGGAAGAACACCAGUGGCGAAGGCGGCUCUCUGGUCUGCAACUGACGCUGAGGCUCGAAAGCAUGGGUAGCGAACAGGAUUAGAUACC
rnacentral:rRNA from 1 species